rnacentral:rRNA from 1 species
AUGUCUGAUCGAGGUCUACAGAUGGAGCACACGUCGUGCUCACGCGACACGCAGGGCGACGCGCCAGACGAGAGAUGGCACGUAUCCUACGCCGCCGAUCUGCAGACGCGCUCGCUCACGUUCUAUGACGGCGAGCUGAUUCUCCGGCGUGAUGCUCUCCGCAUCAUCCUGAUCGAUGAUCACGGAGUUACGGUGGAUGCGCGAUUUCUCCGCGCAGGGGAGUCCAUAAUCAUUGGCGAUAUCAUCUCGCUGCCAUGCCAUUUGGUGAGGAUUCGGGAGCGAUUUCCAGCAACGUGCACGCCCCCAGCGGGCACGGCGCAUGGCACGUCUCGAGGUGCGGCGCGCGGGAGGCGUACGGAGAUCCAGGCGGGCGCGGACCGGGUUGGGGUGGCCCCAUGCUACACCAACCACCCGCUAAUGGCGGCUGGACGCGUGGGAGCCUCUCCAUGGCCACCUGACUGCCAUGUAGGACCCAGCACCGAUCCGGGCGUGGAGCCUUCUAGAGCGGGGGAGGCGCGGAGAGCCGCUCCAUUUUCCCCACCUACCCCCAUCACGCGAGACGCGCAUCUCGCUCCUCUCUUCAAGCAUAUCUGGGAGCGUUCUAGGGUUUGUUUCCCCGAUCCAUCCCCUUCUGAUUCCUUCGGCUGGUGGCGGGGCAAGGCCGGCGGCGACGACCGCUCCUUCGCCCAAGUUGCUGCGGCGGAGCGGGCGGGGGGUGGGACGCGCGCCGCGAUGGGAGAUUGUGGCGGGGGCAAAUCUGGAGGAUGGCGCGACAACACAGCACGGGGAGGGUUCGGCGGUAGGCGCAAGGCUCCGCUGCCUAACCAGUCUCGACACAUGGUGUGGCAGCGGCCAGAUCCGCCGCCAACGACGUCGGGAGACUCGAGAUCUGGUGGUGGUGAAGUUGGGGACAGAUGGGAAGCUGUUGCGCGUGCCAUGAGCGGCGCGACCAAGGAGAAGAUGGCGGGCACCCUGGAGCGGCCUCCACCUCCAUCACCUGGGCAAACGACGACCAAGAACAAUGCCUAG